rnacentral:rRNA from 1 species
UACAGAGGGUGCAAGCGUUGUUCGGAAUUACUGGGCGUAAAGCGCGUGUAGGCGGCUUGAUAAGUCCUGUGUGAAAGCCCUGGGCUCAACCCAGGAAGUGCGCAGGGUACUGUUGAGCUAAAGUAGCGGAGAGGAUGGCGGAAUACCCGGUGUAGAGGUGAAAUUCGUAGAUAUUAGGAAGAACACCGGUGGCGAAGGCGGCCAUCUGGCUCGGUACUGACGCUCAGGCGCGAAAGCGUGGGGAGCAAACAGG